CUCGUUGAUAGCAUAGCGCUGUACACAAGCAAGUCCCAUUUGGUGAAGAGCAAUUCCAAAGAAAGCAGAUUUCUUGUCUCCACUUGCACGGAGUUUUGAUAUUGCGCUCUUGAAAAAUCUAUGUAUUUAUUUUAUAUUUGUAGGUAGUGGCAUCUUUGAAAAAUCGUGUGGAUUCUGCACCGAUCCCAGCUGCUAAGAAAGCUGAUAUUAGGACCAAGAUUGCCCUGCUUCAGAGUCAAGUGAGAAAAGCACAGAAGAAGAUCGCUGAACAAAAUUUACAGAAAGCUAUCGAGGUUACGAUUAUGUUUGCUGAGAAUCCAUUGUCAGAGGGAAAGACAUACUGUAUAUGCAAUGUCGAUGUUGGCUUGGAUGUAACUGCAGUUCGUGAAGCAGUCUCAAAAGUUAUGAAGGACAAGUUCAAAUACCCAUACAAGUUUUAAGGGAUAAAACCAGAUUGCAAAAUGGCUGAUGCUAAGAGGGCUUUGAUGGAAGGUGGUGGGAAUUUGAACCAGAAGUUUUCUGGGCGUCUGAUUCCAAAGAGGGGUCAAGUCACGAUGACUGAUUCCAAAGAGGGCGUCUGAUUCGAAAGAGGGAAUUCCAAAGAGGGCGUCUGAUUCCAGAAGUUUUCAUCUUUUUCAAAUUGUUAGGAUAUUGUUGAUGUGUUAGGAUACGUAUAUCCUAUUUUUUUUUUCUCUAUUAAUUUUUAGUUAUAUUUUAUUUUAUAAAUUAAUUUAAACCUAUAAACCUAUCUAUUAUUUAUUUUGAAAAAAAAAUAUCUAUGCCAAAAUUAUAUUAAAUAUGUGUAUAUCAAUUCCAACCUAAAAAUAAAAUACGCGUAUUAAAGAAUAUUUAUAUAUAUAUUUAUCAACUCAAACUCAUAACAUAAUACCUCUAAACUAUCAAUUAUAAUUUUUCUUUAUAUUUUUCUUCACUCUUCGUAUUGUCUUUCUCAAUUUCUUUUCUUAAUAUUACUUUGUAAGUAAUUUUCUUCACCUUCGUAUUGUUAUGUAUUAAAUCAAUUAAUUGUAUGUUUGCAUAACUAUUUUUAAAUGAUUCAGUAUGAAUUAUAUUUUGAAUA